GGAUAAGAGCCAGUGUGGGAUUCAGUGCUAGUAAUUCAUCAACGGCCAGCUCUCCUUUCAGGGCACGUGGUAUUCUGCUAGCACAAUGGAUGCAGAGCCUGCAUGCAGAAAAAAAAUAAAAAUAGUAGUCUGCCUCCUGGAGGUUUUGAAGGGCUAGAGAAUUCAGAAGUACGUUUUUUGUUUGAGGUGUGGCAAUAUCAUCAGCUGGACUUGGGGCAUCUGCCUAAACUUGCCUGGCAAUUUUAGUUUGGUACCUUUAUUUUUCACUUUGCAGAAGACUGUACAGAAACAUUCAACUUUAAAAAGAUCAAAUUUCAUCUUGGAGGAGUCUGAAUUUCAUUGUGAUUGCAGGCUGGUGUGAAUUUCAUUGCGAUUGCUGUAGAUCCCAGCGUGUGAGCAGUUACUGCUGCUGGGCGUGAGGCUGCAGAGGAAGGAUCGCCCUGACCUGAGAAACGUUUCAGAAAGUAGUUACCCCCCAGCCAAAGGACCUGCAGGCUGCUUGGGUAAGGAGAUAGGUUUAAACUGCACCAGAGGAUGACCUCUUCCAAAGUUAUUAAAAUAAAAGGUGGUGAGAAAGCUCUGUGUCAGGGCACGAGCAUUGGGCACUGGUGUUCAGGAGCUUGGCACUUUGCAGUGUCAGUAGGUGCUGUUUGAAACAGGGCUGAAAUGGGGUUUUUCUCCUGUUUGGAGCCACAGUACCUUGCUGAGGUUAGCCUUAUCUUAUUUACUGGGACAAAGGCCAUGCUAUCCAGCAGGCUCACUCCAAGAACACAAAGAAAUGAAACUAGCACAUGAUUUAGAGCACUGGGUCACGGUGUACUGUGCUCACACAGCUCCGCCAGCAGCAGGAUUCAAUCAGUAACUACUCGGGAUCCUUGCUCCGAGCAGUGCUGGCCUCCUAGCAGUGAUGCUUCAGUGACUCGUUGGGCAAUGUGCACUUCAGGGAAUGGUGUGCAUGCAGAGUGGCUCUGGGAGAUCGAUGCCCCCAUCCCAGACAAGCAGUAAAAGACCUGGUUGGUGAGGCGUUGAAAAGACAAGCACUUCAGCCUACGUUUACUGGCGGGGGUGAGAGGAAACAGACCUUAAUGUCUGCUUCAAUGGUUGUGCACGUGGAGUUCAUGGCUAUAAAUAAGCGGUAUUGCACAACCAAGGUAGUUUUCCCUUGGAAAUUUAAUAUUGAAGUUUGCUUUGGUGCCUGGUUCGAGUGCUCUUCAGCAUAACAGCUCCUAAAACCGUGUUAACAGAGGCACAGGAAAACAAGAUGGUAAUCAGAGUAGCGUCCGAAGGACCAGUAUGUUUCCACCUGCCAACGCAAGAAGCUUCUGGCAGGGCACUGUGGCAUUUUAUAACCAUGAACUUUUCCAAGCAAUGUCUCUGCCUCAGCGCUCAUAAGAAAAUGUUUGUUACCGGGCACAAACACGCCAGUGUCUGGCAAGCCAAGUGUUGUGCAACCUGCGUGCCAAAGUGCAGAGCGGAGGGCGGCUGAAAGGAGGCGGCUCAUUCACAGGCACAGAGUGAUCAGCUGGGAAAUAAUGACUUGUUUAGGAACGAUACACUGUAAAUCACCGGGCUCACUGUUUGGCUAGUUCGACUUCAGUUCUGUCCACUGAAAAGGAUGUCUGGUUCCUGCGGCUGCUGGAAAGGGUGGAACCUCGUGUGUGACAACGACUGGAAGGGCCCCCUGAGUACCUCCUUGUUUUUUGUGGGAGUCCUGCUUGGAUCUUUCAUUUCGGGACAACUCUCAGACAAGUUUGGCAGGAAGAAUGUGCUGUUUGCAACCAUGGCAAUGCAGACCGGCUUCAGCUUCGUCCAGGUCUUCUCUACCAGCUGGGAGAUGUUUUCAGUGUUCUUUUUGCUGGUCGGCAUGGGACAGAUAUCUAACUACGUGGCAGCGUUUGUUCUCGGCACGGAAAUUCUUGGCAAAUCAAUCCGUGUGCUAUUCUGCACACUAGGUGUUUGCAUAUUUUAUGCAUUUGGCUACAUGUUGCUGCCACUGUUCGCUUACUUCAUCAGAGACUGGCGGAUGCUGCUGCUGGCACUUACUUUACCUGGGCUCCUCUGCAUCCCACUCUGGUGGGUCAUUCCAGAAUCUCCACGGUGGCUAAUCUCUCAGGGACGGUUUCAAGAGGCAGAAGACAUACUCCGAAAGGCUGCAAAAAUUAAUGGUAUUACACCCCCAGAUGUAAUACUUGAUCCUAGUGAGCUGCAGGACGUGGAUUCCCAGAGACAACAGACAUACACCAUUUUGGAUCUGAUGAAAACCCGAAAUAUUCUAACUAUAACAAUUAUGUCCGUGAUUUUGUGGAUGAUAAUCUCUGUUGGUUAUUUUGGACUUUCUCUUGACACACCCAACUUGCAUGGAGAUGUCUAUUUAAACUGCUUCCUCUCAGCAGUGAUUGAAGUUCCAGCCUACAUUAUUUCCUGGCUGCUGCUUCGAAAUCUCCCCCGACGGUAUUCAAUGGCUGCUGCGUUAUUCUUGGGAGGCUGUGUUCUUCUCUUCAUUCAGCUGGUGCCUUCACAGUUCCGUGCCGUAUCUAUUCUCCUCGUGAUGUUGGGGAAAUUUGGGAUCACAUCUGCCUUCUCAAUGGUUUAUGUUUACACGGCUGAGCUUUACCCAACAGUGGUGAGAAACAUGGGAGUUGGAGCAAGCUCCAUGGCCUCCAGACUUGGCAGCAUCCUCUCACCUUACUUCGUUUACCUUGGUGCCUAUGACAGGUUCCUGCCUUACAUCCUGAUGGGGAGCCUGACCGUGCUAUCAGGAAUCCUGACUCUGUUUCUGCCAGAAAGUUAUGGUAUGCCUCUUCCUGACACAAUUGAGCAAAUGCUGUUGGUGAAAGGUUGCAGGGCUACAGUCUUAUUGGAGUCACGGAGACAAGGUGAGACGGCUCCCAUGACUGGAGUGUUGCAGUGGAGGGAUACAGGCUCUUUAGGAAGGACAGACUGGGACAGCGUGGAGGUCGAGUCACCCUCUGUGUGAGAGCAGCUGGAAGGAAUGGAGCUCUGCCUCAGGAUGGAUGAACCGUAAAGAUUAAGGGUAAGCGUUACAGAGCAGAGCAGUACGGGUGACGUAUCGGGCAUCUGCUGUAGGCCACCCAACGAGAAAGAGUAAGUGGAUGAGAUUCUCUACCGACAGCUGGAAGUAGCCUCGUGUUCACAGACCCUGCUCAUCAUGAGGGGCUUCAACCAUGCCAACAUCUGCUGGAGGACCAACACAGCAAGGCGUCAGUGAUCUAGGAAGCCCCUGGAGGGCAUUGAUGACAGCUCUCUGACCCAAGUGGUGGAGCAAAAAAGGAAGGGUGAUCUGCUAGCCCUUGUACUCAAAAACAAGGAAGUACUCGUUGGAGAUGUGAAAGUCAAAGGUUGAAGGCAGCCAUGGAUACAGUGGCCAUAAGAUGGUAAAGCUCAGGAUCCUUUGAGAAGUAAGCAGGGUAAAAUGCAAGAUUGCAACCCUGGGCUUCAGGAGAGCAGGGCCUCUUCAGGGAGCUACUUGGAAGAGUCUCAGAGGAUAAAGGCCUGGAGAGAAGCAUAAGGAAGAUGGUUAAUACUCAAGAAUCACCUCCUCCAAGCUCAAGACCAUCCCAAUGCAAGGGUAGACAGGCAAAAAUGCCAAGAGUCUGCAUGAACAAAAAGCUCCUAGCAAAACAAAUACAAAAAACAUUUUUACAGGCAGUGGAAACAGGGAUAAGUAAUCUGGGAGGAAUCUAGAGACACUGUCCAACCAUACAGAGAUGCAAUUAGAUGAUCCUUCCCCUCUGUUCCACACUGGUAAGGCCCCACCUGGAGUUCUGUGCCCAGUUUGGGGCUCCCCUGUACAAGAGAGAGACAGACAGGCUGGAGAGAGUCCAGUGAAAGGCCACCAAGAUGGACUGAAGCAUCACUCCUGCGAGGAAAGGCUGAGAGAGCUGGGACUGUUCAGCAAGGAGAAGAGAAGGCUCAGGGGAGUUUUACCAAGGUACAUAAAUACCCACAGGGAGGGUGAAAGAGGAUGGAGCCAGGCUGUUUCCAGUGAUGUCCAGUGAUAUACCCAUUGCCUCUUGUCCUACUGGCACACAGGAACAUCAGGAAACACUUUUUGUGCUGUGUGGGUGGCAAAACAUUGCCACAGGUUGCCCAGAGAGUCUGUGGGGUCUCCGUUCUUGGAGAUACUCAGAAGCUGCCUGGAUGCAUGCUCCUGGGCGAGCAGCACCAGGUGCCCCUGCUUGAGCUGCGGUUGGACCAGAAGAACCCAGAGCUUCCUCCAGCCUCCAGCAGCCUGUGGUUCUGAGAAGAGGGAAGGACUUGCCUAGGUAUUGUCAGAUUGGAAUACAGGCCUGCAUCUACAAGGAAUUCAAAGGAUGAAGAAGAAAAUCCAGAGAUUUUUAAGAGCACAGCUUUUUAAUGAAACUGUCUGCUUCCUUGUGGAUUGAAAGUUAAAUGGACUUUUCUUCUAAUAUUCCUUCUAGAACAGGCUAGUGGCAACACUUCUUCCUGCAAUUUUAACCUUAUUUAUAAAUUUAAGCACUGUGUUCCAAACAUUCUCAUUUUAUAUGGCCAUAAAUACUGUGUAGCCUUCAAUGAGAUUUUCAGCCGCCUUAAUGCAUUAGUACCAUGGAACAGUAUCUGGUCAAUCCUUUGUAAGUAAGUGUGUAGUUCAGCUGAACAAUACUUGAAAAUGAGUUCAAGGGCUAGCAGAGCACCUGGAUUCAUCAGUGAGCCUUCUCCAGAGCUGAUGCCCAUCAAGAAUUUAAAAUAGCUAGAAAAAGCUGCUAAUUGGUUUUGAAUCCUUGACUUCUGUCUCUGGACAGAAAACUUAUUUAUUAUAGUAAAGGUUAUGAAAACGUGCCUUUGUUAUCUUAAGAGACUUUACACGUGCUGAAUUUGGUAACAGAUUCAGAAAGAUGCAAAGAAAGAUUUUUGAGAAGGAAUUCUAACGUGAAAUGUUUUAACUCAGCAUAGUGAAAGGAUAGUCUUGCACAAAAUACCUGUAGCAUUGAAGCUUUGCUCACAAAAUCCACUGGAAUCCAAUGCUGGUUUUCAACUACAUACGUCUGAUGAAGUUGUUUACAUCUGACACUGGAAUGUGGCCUGAUUUGAGGCUGUAUUUAUUUUAAAUGAUGCAAAAGGUUUCAUCUGUGUGUGUAGAGGCUGUUGUUAGUUUGGAGUUCUUCCUUUUUGAUGAGUGUUGGAAAUUUACUGUCUGCAUUGUUUGUUUGUUUUUUAAAUGUUCUGUGCAAUUUGGGAUGAUGGAAGUGAUUCUCCUGUCCUUGUUCUGUCCUAUCCACAUACAUGCACAUCCACCUACUAUCAAUAAUCCACGCCACUCCACUGACCUCAUGGUAAAAUUUACCAAGAACAACGUUUAGAAUAUGUUUGUGACCACUGGUUCUUGAUUCUCAAGUGCCAACGGUUUGAUUCCUGUGAGGUCUGUUACUUCACUUAACUCGUGUUAAUUGUGUGUGUGAAUUUCUUAAAGGAAAAGAAAAAUCAUGUUGAAAAUCUGCCAAGAAAUUAUUCCUUGGGUCAUAGAAGCACUUUGGCACUACCUGUGUUUCUUUAAAAACAUACAAUAUACACCUACGCACAGUUUCGUUUGUGCCAUCCUGAACUUGCAUUACUUAAUACUGUGACAGAUGUGUAUGGUGAAAGCAUUUAUCUGUGGCACUUGUUUGUGUUUUGUCCUGUCUUAUAACGACUGAAUAAACAGAACCUGAACCUGUAUAGUCCAAGCUGUUAGGGGCCUUACUUUCUAGGUGCAGCAGCAAUUCACGCAGUUGAACAGCUGAAUUGCCAAUACUCUGUGUCCUGUCCUUGCUAACCGGGCUGCAGCAGCUGGCUUGGUGCAGUUCUGUGCCCUCUGGACUGUUCAUCUGGGAAGCAAGAAGGCAGAAACUCUGCACGGACUGCAGUCUUUGGGUUUGUGUUUUACACUCUUCCUACCAAUGUCUUAAUCUGCAGGGCUUGCUCUUCUUUCCCUGCAUCUUCUCAUCUAAUUGUUCAACAUUUUAUCUUCUGGAUGCAGCAGGAAGCUGGCCAGCGUCGCCAGGCCACAGAAUGAUACGGAGAAGCUUACUUUUGUCAUACUGCCAGCUCUUCUGAGGAGAGAAAUCCCAAAGUUCCAGCAGGUUCAGUUUCAUUCCUGUUUGGCAGAUAGAGAGGCAUUUAACAGAUGAGUUUAAAAUGGAGUGCAUAAUUUGAAAAUGGUGCAUAUGUUGAGAGCCUGAAUUUUGCAAGCUUCACUGCACAUCACUUAAUGGCCUUGAGCAAACAAAUGUCAGGAGAGGGCAUGAAUCAGCCGGGCUUCCUGGUGGUGGGAACAUCCCUCAUCCAAAAGCCCUGAUAGAAUUUGUCAGGUUUCCCACCUUGCACCUUUUCUGGAAAAUUUUAGACCGUAUUCUUACAUAUGCAACAAGCUCGGUGCCAAUAUAUUUUUGUAAGCCUUAUCUCUUUUAAACUGAUAGGAACUGGAGCAUCCAGAAGCAGCUGCUUUUUUGUGUCGUAUAUAGAAGAAAUGUGAUCACCACAGGAAUUUGAGGCAAAGCACAAUUAGCUGCAACUUCCUUGUGAUGAGUUUGCCAAUGUAAACAACUGUGUCCCAUAAGCCUCUUCCUGUAAACUGUUUCAGAAAAUAUCCUGAGAUGUAAAAUACAAGAUACGUGCUUGCCUGACACAUGAUCUAUUAUAGAAAUUCCUGUUAAAGUCCAUCUAACAUCUGAUUUAGCUGUUAUUUUUAAUCCACUGUGUCAACCAGGUAUGUGCCUGAUAGUCUUUUGUUCUUGAAUAUUUGAGUACUCUGAUGUUUACUAAACAAGGGCCGAGGGGUUUUUUUGUUUAUUUUUGGUGCAACCUAAUUGGGGAAUUUUCUGGUUAUGACUAACACUGCAAAACACAAUGGCCAGCUCUGUGUCACAAAAUACACUUUCUUCCUUGCUAAUCUUAAAAGUAAGAAGUGUGACUCAGAAACAAUGUAUUUAGUAUAGCAUCCUGGGUUAUUUUCUGUUUAUUUUGCUGUCCUGCACUGAUCCUCAGGCUUAUCUCUAAAACAAGGAACUUUAGUGAUGAAUGUAUCGUUCUAAUCUCUAAAACAAGUUCCUUGUUUAAAGCAAGUUCCUUGUUUUAGUGUGUAGUCAGAAUCCAGCUACCAAGUAUUUCCAGAAGAACUCAAGGGACUAUUUUAAUAGCAUCAACAGGCAGGUGAUGUGAUCUGGGCAAGACGUAGAUUAAAUGAACUGAACCAGUAGUUAGCAGGUGUUAGAGUGACAUCAGCACUGGCAACAAGUCAGAUCUAUGACACUAACUGUGGCUGUGGGUAGCUGUGGAACAAAGCAUUAGUGCUGCACAGUACCAUGGUUUGGGAUGGUGCUCACUGACUGCAUGGCUUACUUCCAGUAUUGUCUGGGGUGGUGUUUCCCUAUAGACAUGUCCUUGGCGUGUCGCUUUGUGUUACAGGGAUGUGAAGCAGGACUGGGACCUGUUUUCUGAGACCCUUCUGUAAAGGGACUGCUGUUAUAACUUCAGGCUGAAUGUUUGCAAUGCCCAUAACCUGCGUUACAACAGCAGAGACUUCUGGCUAGGUGAAAUUAUCUGCUGCUAGAGAACCAUGCACGUUACAGGGCGUUCACCAAGGAAAACAGUAUUAAGGCCUUGACCUGGGAACUAGGGUGUCUUCAUUUAUAGCUCUUUGACUGACUCCUCAUCACCUCGGGCAAGUUGCACAAUCCUCUGACUGGUUUCCUUGCAUGCAAAUGGAAAUACCGUUAGCUCAAAAGGUACCACAACUUCUUCAGUCACUUGUUCAUGCAAAACAGUCAGAUUUCAUAGAAUUUUCUGGCUCAACUCUCCAGACUGUGAAUGCAAUCCUCACAACAGCAUUAUCUGGUAAUUCAUCUUUCAGAAGCAGGCAGGUUUGGGUCACUUCUGACACUGCACUUUAAGAGGUGUGAGCACCUGCUCCUGUGCUUCCAAAUUACGGUUUGAAAGAAGAAAGCUCAGGGAGGUGGUGCAUAGGACUGGGGAAUGGGACUGCAGUAAGUCAAGGCAAGGGUUGGGCUCUGAAUGCUUAUUCAUGUUAUUUUAAUUGCACAACCCUUUCUUGGUUUGAUGCGGAACUGCCUUCAGCCUGCUGCCUGUGAGGAGGAGCAUUCUUUACAACUUUCUCUGUGUACCUAACCACGUCAUAAAAACAGUUUGUGUCUGGGAGACUUCCAUUUUGAGAUACGGUGAUACCUGGACUGAAUUGCUGAGCUCAUGGAAUCCGAGAUGAACGUGAGUUACACCCGGCUCUGUUUACAGCCACUCGUGUUUCACCCAUGGGGGCUGUUCUUGGUUGUGCUCUCCAGAGACCUAUGUACAGUAGGCACCUGCAGAAGUUGUUGGGACUGUCUCUGAAUAAACUUGUAUUUCACUAUUUGUAGAACAGGGCCUUAACUUGCAAACCAGUUUUAAGUUUCUUAAAACUUAGAAUCAGCUUAGGCAGCAUAACGCAUUGGUUACACGUGCCUUUGGGAGUACUUCAACCUCCUAGUGAUGAUCACAGCCUUGUACAUAGAAACACGUGGAAAUUUCUUUUAAGAAUGUAAAUAUUCCUAGCUGUAACUAAAUUGAUUCUUACACUUUAUAUAUAUAUAUAUAUGUAGAAAAAUGCUUGUUGUUUGUAAAAUUCUGAAUAAAAUUGUAUCUGGAAUUCUCUUUAAAA